UACGAAGGGUGCAAGCGUUAAUCGGAAUUACUGGGCGUAAAGCGUGCGUAGGCGGUUUCUUAAGUCCGUUGUGAAAGCCCUGGGCUCAACCUGGGAACUGCGAUGGAUACUGAGGAGCUGGAGUACGGUAGAGGAAGGUGGAAUUCCCGGUGUAGCGGUGAAAUGCGUAGAGAUCGGGAGGAACACCGGUGGUGUAGACGGCUCUCUGGACAGUAACUGACGCUGAGACACGAAAGCGUGGGUAGCAAACAGG
rnacentral:rRNA from 1 species